AACGAACGCUGGCGGCAGGCUUAACACAUGCAAGUCGAGCGCCCCGCAAGGGGAGCGGCAGGCGGGUGAGUAACGCGUGGGAACGUACCCUUUACUACGGAAUAGCUCCGGGAAACUGGAAUUAAUACCGUAUGUGCCCUUCGGGGGAAAGAUUUAUCGGUAAAGGAUCGGCCCGCGUUGGAUUAGCUAGUUGGUGGGGUAAAGGCCUACCAAGGCGACGAUCCAUAGCUGGUCUGAGAGGAUGAUCAGCCACAUUGGGACUGAGACACGGCCCAAACUCCUACGGGAGGCAGCAGUGGGGAAUAUUGGACAAUGGGCGCAAGCCUGAUCCAGCCAUGCCGCGUGGGUGAUGAAGGCCUUAGGGUUGUAAAGUUCUUUUGCCCGUGACGAUGAUGACGGUAACGGGAGAAUAAGCUCCGGCUAACUUCGUGCCAGCAGCCGCCGUAAAAC
rnacentral:rRNA from 1 species